GCUUAUGCCGUCAUUGUUGAUUGUUUCUUGGUUGGGGAGAAACUGCCCUUUUAGCACCAUAAGAGAGGUGCUUGAAAAACCCAUCAUCGUGAUCAAAUUGAAAGUGAUAUCACGGCACAUUGCAUUCGAACUUAUCUACCCACCACAACAUUGCGCUGAUGAAACUAAAUUCCUAUUGUUCACAUUUUACAAGCGACAACAUGAGGUUCUACUUUGUUCAGAGUUGUUGCGGGUGUAUAAACAUUUUGUAUGGAGUGAAAGGCAUCGGAUGCAUUUGCGGUGCUUUGGCCGUUCUGGGAUUGGCACAGCAAUGCAUAAUCCAGAAUCUGGCUGGAAUCAUCAUCUUUGCAAUUCUCGUCCUACCCAAUGGUCUGGUUUUCGCUGGAGCUCAAUUCAAGCAGAAAUAUCUCCUUCUCCCUUGGAUUGGAUUGUAUUUAUUGGGAGCUUGGGCCAUUUUAAUAUUGGGCAUCAUUGAGGCCUUGGGAGGAAAUGGCCUUUUGGUUUGGAUCUUUCCUAUCUUGGGGUUUCCGAUUUAUGUAUACUCUUGGCUGGUGACCGUGUCAUUGUUCAAAAGAUUAAGCGAUCCAUUGGACUCACUGAAUGCAGCACCAACCAAUUCCUCGUGACCUACAAACUUAUCCAAAGUUCCAAAAAAGUUGAGGAUCAUUACUGGUUCCAAGUUCUAACUAGAGAUGUUACACUCUUUGAGAUGGUUGACUCGUAACACUCGAGUCAUUUUCGUUUAAAUCGAGCUUUGAUGAGUCCUCAUCAUGACUUUAAUGUAUAUAUUUUUAUGAAAUAGCUUCAAUGUAACAACUUACUUGAAAAUUCUGCAUCCAAAAACGCACCUUCAAAAUUAAAAGAUUAGCUCCCGUUGAAGAUGGCAUGCUUAAAACUAAGAAAAAGCGCUGGUUUAGUAGAAAACAAUUUUUGUCAUUUCUGCACCAUUUUUCUUUUCUUCCAAAAUAAUUUGUAAAGGUGGAGUUGGAGUCUUUGUUGUUGUUUUUGGGAAAAACUCUCAUUUUUUUACUGAGACUCGUUUAUAACCCUACAUUCAACACUAGCAUGCUAUUUGACAGUGAUUCAAGGGGAGUGUGUACCUUGUCAUAACGACUCCAUUAGGCGGCACUUCUUUCCAGUCAAGCAAAAACUGCGAGCAAAAACUGACCAAAUAUGUCAUCUUUAAAGCUGCUAGACAAACCGCAAGUGAUUUUUUUUUUCCUCCGGUAGACAAGACCUGGCACUUCCUUUGCUCUGCAGCUCUGUUUGAGUUCAGGCGACUUUUUCCACUUCAAGAAGCUUCAUUUAUUAUGCCGUCCAUGUUUACGGGUCUCCGUGGUAACGAGUGAGCCUAAUUAUCAGUAUGUCAUCGGGACUCUUGUGAGUGAUCAACUUGCUUCGAUUUAUCAUUGACGGCACAAAGGAAAUCUCGUGACCCUGAAUUUCUUGUAUGUAGCACCGCUGACAUAUAGAUUUAGGGCAGAGGAUCAAGUAGCAAGCUCGCUUGUUUGGCUGGUGCUUUUGGCGCAAUUUGAGAUAUCGGUAAUCGGUUUUUAAUUCUCUUGAGGACUUGAUGCUGAGCAACCAGGCAUGAAAGAUGUCAAACGGCUUGUUCAUGUUCCAUUCGCCAUUAUCCACUUUUGUCUUACUCGUCUCUUUCCCUACAAAAUCACGUCUGGUCUCAAGGAGAAUUCACAAGAUGCUCGAGGCUUUAUAUGUGUCAAUAUGACACAUACACACAGAUAGAUGAUCAAGUUGAGAUUGUUUUAAUGCAGGAAUUCACCUCAAUCCUGAUCAUGUGCCACUUGCCAUCAUCCAUGCCUCGAGGUCACCGUGAUGAACCUAAGACUUUUUUUAUUUGCAUUGAAAAUUGGUUGCCGUUGUUGCGCAUUUGAAUGUAAAGCACCUUCAGCAGAGGCAUUGUACAUAAUUGAGAUGGCAAUUAAACCAUCAUCUGACUUCCCAGAUCUUCAAUUGAAAGUAGACCCCAAGAUUGAGACAAUAAAACCCUGGAGAGGAGAUCUUGCAUUCCCUCUUUCAAUUUGAA